rnacentral:rRNA from 1 species
CACGGGGUUGCGAGUGUUAUCCGGAUUUAUUGGGUUUAAAGGGUGCGCAGGCGGGGGAUUAAGUCGGCGGUGAAAUUUUGCAGCUCAACUGUAAAAGUGCCUUCGAAACUGGUUUCCUUGAGUGUAGAUGAAGUUGGCGGAAUUUGUGGUGUAGCGGUGAAAUGCAUAGAUAUCACGAGGAACUCCGAUUGCGCAGGCAGCUUACUAAACUACUACUGACGCUCAGGCACGAAGGCGUGGGGAUCAAACAGGAUUAGAUACCCUGGUAGUCCCU